rnacentral:rRNA from 1 species
UAAUACGUAGGGUGCAAGCGUUGUCCGGAAUCAUUGGGCGUAAAGAGCUCGUAGGCGGUCUGUUGCGUCGACUGUGAAAACCCGGGGCUCAACCCCGGGCCUGCAGUCGAUACGGGCAGACUAGAGUUCGGUAGGGGAGACUGGAAUUCCUGGUGUAGCGGUGAAAUGCGCAGAUAUCAGGAGGAACACCGGUGGCGAAGGCGGGUCUCUGGGCCGAAACUGACGCUGAGGAGCGAAAGCGUGGGGAGCGAACAGGA